AAAAGCUUCCUUGAAUGUCUUACCUUACACUUGCCCACACUGAAACUCAUCUGCAUGCUCAGUCCGUUUUUGGGAGGUAUCCUGCCAAGCUUCAUGUCUUCAGCUUCAUUUCUCUAAAGCCCUCGAAAACUCAAAUGAGGUUUACUCCAAAGAAUCCAAGGAAAUCAACUCUUCACAUGUGGCAAAGAGGAAAUGAGCCUUGUCCUGAAGGCAUGGAGCAAAAGAAACGGCAGGGGAGAGCUGGACAAGGGUCAGAGCCUUGGAGAACUGAGAGUACAUUAGAACCAUGGACUCUAGCUGACAUGGAAGUGGGCCAAGACACAGGUUUUGCAAAGCAUUGAGCAUGGCGUACCUCACUUGAUCUUCACAGAAGCCCUCUGGGAUGAGGAACCGCAGCCCCACAGAAGUUUAGUGACCUGGCCAAGAUCACACUGAUGAUCCCAAGGAGCAGAUUCUAUUCAAACCCAGCUCUUGUCUCCAAAUCCAGGGUUCUUUCCACUAUGCUACUAUGUCUCUUCAUAUCUCAUACCAUAUACAAAUUCCAAUUGGACAAAUGACUUAAGUAUUAAACAACUAUUGCAACUAGAAAAUAUUUUUCUCCUGAUAUUUUAUCAAUUGUGGAUUCAAAAUUUUAUCAAAUUAUUGGUUACAAAUUAAAUGAAUUAGAUAUCAUAAGAGGAUUUUGUACAACAAAAAAUAAAAAGAUAUUUCACAAUUUUAAAACAAUUAGGCAAAAGAGGAAGGAAACAGAUAAAAAAAGAAUGUGGUAAAAACACAGCUAGUAAAAACACAAAAUUUACAAUCUACAAAGAACUGACACAAAAUUACAAGAGUAAUAUUCAUUCCUCAGUGGAUAAAUGGUCAAAAGACACGUCUUGAGGUAUUCUGAAGAAGGCAGCACAAAUGAUUAAUGAUCACUUGAAAAAAUGCUCAAAUAAUCAGAGAAACAUAAAACCAAUUUUGAGGUACUAUCUUACACCCUGAAAAUGGGCAAAGUUUUAAAAAUGACAAAAUUCAAUAUUGGUAGCACUCAUGAGGGAACUGGCAACCUAUUACAUUUUUAGUAAAAUUGUAAUUAGUAGUCCUUCUAACAUGCAAUCUGGCAACAUAUAAUGAAUUAGUUACAAUUCUCCGCAUACUCAAUUUAAUGCCCAACAAAUCCACCAUUAUCCUAAGAUUAUUAUUAAAGGCGGAAAAUUUAAAAUAUUUAUAACUGCUUUUUGUUAUAUCAAAAAAAAAAAACCUAAAAACCUAAACGUUCAGUGAUUGGGAAAUAACAAUAAAUUGUGUAGAAGACCAAUUGCUGUGCUGUAAAAAAUGACAAAUAAAAAAGCUGAAACAUAGGUUGGACUUUAAAAGAUUUGAGGAUUUACCCCAUUCAUUUUAUUUGAAUGUUUCUAUUUGUGGAGAAAGUUUGUAAGCUUAUAAUAAAAGAUUACUUAUAACAUAGAUAACUGAGAGAUCCAUUUACAGGUUGCAAAUCAGUGAUAUGUUGAUCUGCUCCCUAAUGAACUAUAAAAAGGCAACAGAGGGCUCCAGACUUGGAAGAAAUCUAGCUAGAGACCACAAGGCAGUCCUCAAAGAGGUAAGACCCUGCUAUGACAGAAGCCAAAGGUAUAAAAAAAUUUCAAAAAGCUGUCAAAUGUAGCAGAGAAGAACUGUGUUCACUGGAUCCUGACAAGAAGUCAUCACUGGAGACUUUAGGGCAGUUCACAGUGGAGUUAAGAGAACAGACAACAUGCUGUUUUCAAAGGUUUGAAGAGUCAUAAUACAGAAGAGGAUUAGGUACCAUGCAUGACCCCAGGAAACAGAAUGAAAACCACUAAGUAGAAAUUAUAAGCCAGUUUUGGUCCAGCAUAAUGAAAAACUAACUGAACUGUCAGGCAACAUACUUAUGUAGACUAUAAUGCCACACAGUAAACUUCUCACUCACUGGCAGUAUUCAUACAAUAACCGAAUGACCUAUUGGGAUCACUGCAGAAGAAAUUCGUAUUAUUAGGUGAAAGGCUGGGUUAAUGAUUUCUAAGGUUCCUUCCAACUCACUUCUAUGAUUCUAAGCCAGACUUCCAGGAUCAAAGAGGGAGUAGUUGAUGAGGAAAUGGAGGUAAGUAGGUACAGACUGCCCAUAUGAAAGCCAUUUGUCUUUGAAAAGUACAGGAUAAAUGAGAUGUUAGUAAUGGGACUCUAGGAGCAAAUGCAGGCUUUUUGGGGGACUGAAGAAAUGUUGCUUAAAGGUUAAGGUGAUAGAAUGCCAAUCAAUCAAUUUAUUAAGUACUAAAUAAGCAGAGUAAAGAGGUUUUCCUUCUUCCCCUCCUUGGACACUAGGGGAAAGGAAAAGAUAAUACAAAAACAGCAAUUUUGAGGAAGAAAGGUUGAUAGCUAGGGGAGCUGGCCCCAGAAGAUCUCAGUGAAAUAGGCUGGAAGACAUCAGCUGUAAUUAAGGGUAGACAGAAGAAAAUGGGAGCUUAAGAAAAGGGAAAGGGUAAGAGCAAACAGACAAAAGGUUUUUAUGAAGCCAAAAUGAACAGGGUAAUAAUAAAAACAAUGUGGCACUGUACUGAACCCUUCUGCCAAAAAAAAAAAAUGUAUGACAGGGUCUUUGAAACUUUGUCUCCCUCUGCUGAGUGAUAAGGUAUAAUACAGUGACCUGCCUUCCGAGCUGCGCGUUGAUUAGAAAUUAAAAAGGUUUUUUUUUGUGUACACUUCAAUUUUCAGUUUUGUUUAGGACCAAAGUAUUUUAACAUAAACUGUGUAUAUUAAUAUUAUAUAUGUAUAUAGUACAUAUGUAUGCAUACAUUGUAUAGGUAUGUACAUAUUAAUAUAUACUAUGUGUAUAUUAACUAUGUGUUAAUUCAUACACAAUCUUGAUUCCUUGAUAGAUGCAACAGAAAUAACUUUGUUUUGACUAACAACAGAAUGCAAGCUAUAAAACAGGGAAAGAUUCCAGAAAGGUGCUUGCCAUGCCAUGAAGGUUAUCCUACAAGAUGCAGUAGAAACAAAACAAUAUUCGAGUUUACAGAUAUUAUGUUGAGUGUCCUAAUCACCAGAAUACUAAAAUACCUUUGUAAUGAGAUCCAAGACCCCUCAAAAGAGAUCAGCAAGGGCUAUAAUGAGUAAUCAAAGAAUAGGCACAACAUUUUCCAAAGAACUGCAAACUAUAACUACAUGAAAACAUGCCCCAAAUCAUUAGUACUAAAGGGAAAAAUGUAAAUUAAAACAAACACACUAUGGACACUGAUGAAAGACGAAAAACUAGGAACAGUCAGUGUUAGAGUAGGGGGUGGUCCCAUGCAUGAAAAGACAAACACUAAUGCAGUUAAUGGAACUAAGUGGUUCAAUAUUCUGAUAUUUAGAAUAAUGCAAGAAAAGUGACCAAAUCAACCACACCCUUUGACUGUCUAUCAGGUAUAUACCCCAAGUAAGACAAAAAUUCAACAUAUACCAAAAUAUUUAUAGCAGCCAUCUUGUGAUACUUAAGAACUGGAAACAAAAUUGAAUGCCCAUUGAUAAAUGGCCACGUCCCCCCCCAAAAAAAAAAACCCCAAACAAAAAACUAUGGGCACGUGAAUGGAAUACUCUGCGCAAUUAAGAAAUGAUGACUAUAAAGAAUUCAUAGAAACAUGGCAAGAUUUGGAUAAACUGAAAGAGAAACAAGCAGAACUAAGAUACACAGAUCAGUACAACGUAAAUGAAAAGAUCACUAAAAUGAAGUUAACCUCUGAGUAAUAGGAAAAUCAAUGAAGGUCUUGGAGAAAGGAUGAGUCCCUAGGUAUGGCAAGGGAGGUGGGAAACUAGGGUAGAAUGUUAUAGUUAGACAUGCUCUCUCUCUAGCAUCAAGGAUGCUUUUUUUUUUUUUGGUUAUAAGGAGAGGUUCAAUAUGGAGUAGUGGGAAAUGGGAAAUAACCGAAGUAAAAACAAAGAUCAAUAAAACUUUUAAAAAUUAGCCUAUUAGUCUAUACAGAAAAAACAAAAGAUUGCCUGUGAUCCAGGCUAUUUACUACAUGCAGUCAGGCAGCCUUCAAGUUAUUACCAGCACUAAUGUUUCAGCUAAGUUCAAAAUUCAAAAGAAGGAAGAGUGGGAUAGACUGCAUUUGGAAAAUAAUGCUGGAUUUUCAAUGAUGCUAAGAUAUUCCUCUCUACGUAGACAAAAAUCUAUAUAUACCAAUAUUCUUCCCAAGAUAUUAAUGUGGCUAUGAAUCAUGAAACAAUCUCAGAAUAAUAAACAUCAUAGGUAACCGAAAGGGCGAUGUAGAUGCAUAGCAAGAACAGGUUGUAACAUAUGGACAAUUUUAAACAAGAAUUCUAAACACUAUGAGCCAGGAAAUGUGUAAUGGAGGUGGGUCAGUCGUACAGCAAAAGGGAAGGAUAACCUCUAGUCUACAUCAUUUGUGUCUAAAUAAUGAUCUCUAGACGCUCUUCAAAACUGUUUUAAAAAAAUGCAAUGUUCAGAAGGAAAAAGAAAGUUAAUUUCCUUAAAAGACAUAAGCAGGCUAUAAAAUUCCCAAAUCAAAGACACCUACCUAGCCUCUAGACACAAGCUGAUUUAGUGUUAGUCAAGUAUUCCAAAAAAAAAGAAUAAGGAAAAAAAGGCUAAAAUAAAAGGGAAUAAGUUUUCUUAUUAAAAGUCCCCCAAGGUAAGCAUAUCUUGAUCAGAAUUUGAAGUACAACCCAGCUGAAAGAGAAACUUGAGACUUCCAAUUAUAUCAGUUAUCAAAGUUAUCUCUUGUCCUUUUGAUCAUGGAGUGCCAGGGGUGGGGAACCUCGAGGACACAUCUUGUUCUGUGAAGUUUGGAUUCACUCAGAAGGCUGCACUCGAGGACCUAGAAAAGCCACAUGUGGUCUCAAGGCCACAGGUUCCCCACUACUGGAAUAGGCAGCAGGAAAAAGAUCAAAAAGGUGUGUUUAAAAGGCCAAAAUAUAAAUGAAAGGAAACGCCAAUGAGAAACCAAGUGAUUUCAAGCACUGGUUAAGGUAACUAUCUUAGGCAAACUAGCUAAGAUAACAGACCUCUUAGCAGAUAAAAGCAGCUGGGAAAGUAAUCUCACAAAAAAAAGGCCAAACACUAGUCUUAAAGAAUCCAUUACAUCUACCAGUCAAGAGAUUCCCCCACCAUCACCUCCCAAAAAGGUGAGAAUAAACUGAAAAAUGUAAGCCUAACAAUGUGGAAAAUCAGGGCCUGAAGGUGUGGGAAGACAGGGUUAGAAAGCAGAAGAAAGAACACUGCCUUCUCUAAGACUAUGGAGGAAGCAAAGAUAAAAGUAGAGGGGAAUGCAGGGGGGAAAAACUAAUGAACUCACAGAAGAUAAUCUUAAUUUUCUCAAGGAAGAAACACAAAUACCAAUUCCAUUUCAUAAAAAAAUUUAUUCAUGUCACCUCAUUUUUUAACAUUAUUAGAAUGCUCCCCCACCUGAUCCUUUUAAGGAACCCCCAAGCUGCUUCAGAUUUUUAAAAAUA